UCAAGCUCUUCUGUGUCUAGAGGAAGAGCUACCCCGUGACCGGCUUAGAGAACUGGAAGAGGCCGCAACCUUUCUCCUGCUUGAAGCUGGAGGAUGGAUGGAGUCUGGAGCCCUGGAGCGUGGGACACUGUUUCGCUGUGGUUGGUGGUGGCGACAGAGCAGUAGGAGAGCGCCCGGCAGCGGGAGCUUCUCCUGCUGGGCUGGAGGACUAGGAGAAGGAAGAGGCACUGCCACAUGCUGGAGGCUGGAACCUGUGCCACCGUGGCUGGCCUGGCUCUGGUUGGUUCGCCUCGCUGUGGUUGGUGGUGACGUCGGAGACUGCAGCUCGGUCACAGUGGUAGAAAUGUGAUGGGGUAGGGAAGUUGGAAAUAGGCAAGAAUGGAGAGAAAUUUUGUAUGGCAGUACACAGAAUUUUGCAAGUUUAUUG
rnacentral:lncRNA from 1 species